UCGACCUUACUUGAACAGGAUCUGUUCUGUAGGCUCGUACCACUGUAUCCUUGAUUUCUAAGGAGACCAGAAACCAAGUUGAUGAAAACAGACGACAUCAUGGCUCCUCGAGUUGUGGUGCAGUAGAUGAUCGUUCUUGGACCUGAUCCUUCGGGCCUAAGAUGGUCUCGUGGCGGUCUGACAGACU
rnacentral:snoRNA from 1 species